CCUCCCCGAAACGGGCAAAGAGACAUCUUGGUGGUGGCGGUGGUGUUCUUAUAUCAAUCAGAGCAAGUGACAGUCCUUUGUUCAUCCUAGCUUGAUGCCUGGCUUGGUGUCCGAAGCUGUUUUCUGCCUAGGACACAGAA